UGAGAAGAUCUGAUAUUUCAUGUGAUUUA
rnacentral:piRNA from 3 species